AGUGAACGCUGGCGGUAGGCCUAACACAUGCAAGUCGAACGGCAGCACAGUAAGAGCUUGCUCUUACGGGUUGCGAGUGGCGGACGGGUGAGGAAUACAUCGGAAUCUACUUUUUCGUGGGGGAUAACGUAGGGAAACUUACGCUAAUACCGCAUACGACCUACGGGUGAAAGCAGGGGAUCUUCUGACCUUGCGCGAUUGAAUGAGCCGAUUUCGGAUUAGCUAGUUGGCGGGGUAAAGGCCCACCAAGGCGACGAUCCGUAGCUGGUCUGAGAGGAGGAUCAGCGACACUGGAACUGAGACACGGCACAGGCUCCUACGGGAGGCAGCAGUGGGGAAUGUUGGACAAUGGGCGCAAGCCUGAUCCAGCCAUACCGCGUGGGUGAAGAAGGCCUUCGGGUUGUAAAGCCCUUUUGUUGGGAAAGAAAAGCAGCAGGUUAAUACCCCGCUGUUCUGACGGUACCCAAAGAAUAAGCACCGGCUAACUUCGG
rnacentral:rRNA from 1 species